CUUUUGCACGGGAGCUGCAAUGGAAAUUUCGUUGAAUUCUGUUCAAUGACAAUAAAUGCUAUCUAUCUAUCUAUGACAGCUAGCAUGUAGGGCCACUGGCUAGCAGGCAGAGGUGCUAGCUGACACGGCGGCUAGCAGGCAGAGGUGCUAGCUGACACGGCGGCUAGCAGGCAGAGGUGCUAGCUGACGAUGGCGGCUAGCAGGCAGAGGUGCUAGCUGACACGGCGGCUAGCAGGCAGAGGUGCUAGCUGACGAUGGCGGCUAGCAGGCAGAGGUGCUAGCUGACACGGCGGCUAGCAGGCAGAGGUGCUAGCUGACGAUGGCGGCUAGCAGGCAGAGGUGCUAGCUGACACGGCGGCUAGCAGGCAGAGGUGCUAGCUGACACGGCGGCUAGCAGGCAGAGGUGCUAGCUGACACGGCGGCUAGCAGGCAGAGGUGCUAGCUGACACGGCGGCUAGCAGGCAGAUCCGAUGGCGGCUGCUGGUUUAGCAGUUCAGUAUCCAGUCUCAGGUUCCAGUUCAGGUGAAGAGGAAAAACCAAGCGGUGUCCUAAGAUGCACCGCUUUCCACCACUCUGAGUGGCAGAAACAGGUAAGUUUGAUCUGACAACAAGACAGACUGGGAGGUAAGUCCUAAUUUAUAGAAUAUGUUUGUGUAAAUUUCUACUAAACAUAAAAUGGCUGUUUUUAAUAUUUUAGUGGAGUUCUUAAAAAAAACCCAUCACGUUUAUUUUAGUUUCAUUUUUUAUUUUUGUUGGUUAUCAAUAUCUUAUUUAAUAUUACACAGGAUGUAAUAUAUCAUUUUAAAUGUCAUAUUUUCAUUAGCUGUAAGUAGAAAAAAAUAAUUUACAGAAAUAAAAGCUUUCAAACAUUUAUCUCUCUGUUAUUAAUCUAUUGAAUUUGUAACCCAUGUUAAAAUCUGACAUAAAUAGGAAUAAAUAGUUGGUUAAAAGUCUGUAGACAGAAAAUAACGUCGCUGUUCCUUUAAGGAACCAGCGUUACAGAGCUGAGGGAGAGAGCGGUGAUUAAUUAACAGGAAAAGUUAAUAUUAUAGUAAAAAAAAACAUAAUUUACCUGGUCGGGAACUGACGGGGGUUUUAUGAGAACUAAGUUACGUUUUGGUGAGUUUUGUGUUUAUUUUUCUGCAUUUUCAUCAUGUUGUACUUUUUCUUUUAGAGCUAACGCUAAAAACGUAGCAGGUUACAAGAAAUGCUCCAUCAUAAACUGUUAUCCGGUUAAUAUAUUGGGUUUAUGAAGAAGAAUUUAUUUGUAUAAUUUGAGGAUUUAAAAAGAGUUUUAUUGUGUUUGUGGCCUGUUACACAGGUCAGGUUUUCUGUCCGGUUGGAAGCUGGUCGGAUUGAGGAUUGGUCUGCCAUGUGCGGCCUGCACAUUCACAGAGGGAUUCAAGAUGGCGAGCCAACCUAGACCUUCAAUUCAUCUUCUCCAUGGCAUCAGGGAGGGACUCUCCCGCGUGUGGUAAUCCGCUGCCGGAGCAGUAGGAAUAUCAGGAACUAGUUCGAACUGAACUGAACAGAACUGAGAACCGAUUGAAUCAUCAUCUUUUUGGACUGAAUCAAACUGAGACUUUUCAUUGAACUGAGUACCUGGAUUUACAUUUGGACCUGAACUUGAACUUAAAGUGCCAUACUUUGAUUUUCAUAUGUUUAUGUCUCUGAAUGUGAUUUGUGUAAUUGUGGUCCACUGUGAUUUAAUUGUGUUUGAAGGUAUUUCCCUACCUGUAAAAGAAAAAAAAAUGAGUUAACUCAGGAGAAAAAUAGAAAUCUUAAAAUAGGUGCAACCUAGGAAAAAGAGACCGGUCUAAUUAACUCAAAUUAGUCUGAUUAAAAUAACCUAGGUGAACUAAAGAGCAAAAAGAAAGAGUGAUAUACUUUUUUCCCCCCUUUUCCUCCCCAUUUAUAUUUACAUCAUUAUUAAGAAUCUGCAGGCUAUUUUUGGUUUCAUGUGCUGUAUUUUAUAUGUGUUUUGCAUUCAGUAAAUUGCCGGCCUUUUUCCCUUAAA